rnacentral:rRNA from 1 species
UACCAGCUCUUCGAGUGGUGUGGAUGUUUAUUGGGCCUAAAGCAUCCGUAGCUGGCUGGGCAAGUCCCCUGUUAAAUCCACCGAUUCAAUCGUUGGAGUGCGGGGGAUACUGCUCGGCUAGGGGACGGGAGAGGCAGACGGUAUUUUCGGGGUAGGGGUGAAAUCCUAUAAUCCCGGGAAGACCACCAGUGGCGAAGGCUGUCUGCUAGAACGCGCCCGACGGUGAGGGAUGAAAGCUGGGGGAGCGAACCGGAUUAGAUACCCGGGUAGUCCCAGCUGUAAACGAUGCAGGCUAGGUGUUUGGGCGGCCACGUGCCGCUCUAGUGCCGCAGGGAAGCCGUUAAGCCUGCCGCCUGGGGAGUACGGCCGCAAGGCUGAAACUUAAAGGAAUUGGCGGGGAGCACCACAAGGGGUGAAGCUUGCGGUUU